rnacentral:rRNA from 1 species
AAGUCGUAACAAGGUCUCCGUUGGUGAACCAGCGGAGGGAUCAUUACUGAGUACUACACUCUCUACCCUUUGUGAACUAUUAUACCUGUUGCUUCGGCGGCGCCCGCAAGGGUGCCCGCCGGUCUCAUCAGAAUCUCUGUUUUCGAACCCGACGAUACUUCUGAGUGUUCUUAGCGAACUGUCAAAACUUUUAACAACGGAUCUCUUGGCUCCAGCAUCGAUGAAGAACGCAGCGAAACGCGAUAUGUAAUGUGAAUUGCAGAAUUCAGUGAAUCAUCGAAUCUUUGAACGCACAUGGCGCCUUCCAGUAUCCUGGGAGGCAUGCCUGUCCGAGCGUCGUUUCAACCCUCGAGCCCCUGUGGCCCGGCGUUGGGGAUCUGCCACGGCAGGCCCCUAAAACCAGUGGCGGACCCGAAGGGCCCUCUCCUUUGCGCAGUAGCAUUCGCCUCGCAUCGGGAGCCCUCGGCGUCCUGCCUCUAAACCCCCCACAAGCCCGCUUCGGCGGCACCAAGGUUGACCUCGGAUCAGGUAGGAAUACCCGCUGAACUUAA